GUGUAUUUAUUGUCCAUGUGCGAGUACUGCAGAGAUCAACUGUCAUUGGGACCACAGAGGGUCCUGCCAUCACAACUCUCACAGAAUAAGUGACUUCCUGAUAAGGCCAGAUGGAAGGAUGAAACAAAGAUGGAACUCUACUGCUAUCAUUAUAGAACACUGUCAUUAAAGGAUUCGCUGAUCCUGUGUUGUGCCUCUAAAACUCCAUAGUUCUGGGUGAGGUGUCAUGCUCUGGGAAGAGAGACAUUUUUGAUUGAGCUUCAUCACAACUUCUGGACAGAAGGAGAAUGGGAGACUACUGUUCCAGAACACCUAUUGAUCUUUCGCAAUCACUGUGGAGUAAAAAAUCUGGAUAAGUGAGAUUGAAGAUGAGGCUUGAUGACUGUGGACACUUCAGCAAUCACAGUAAUGCCAUGGAAACCUUUAUGGAGACACCUAGUGACUGUAGAGCAGUAUAACAGGGGAUUAUGGAGCCAGAUGCAAACAAUUUC